CUUCAGCGACCCCAGGUACAGCGGCCGGUCCUCGGGCCGGUCCUGGCCGUAGGCGGAGAUCAGGGCGCCCGCCUC
rnacentral:antisense_RNA from 1 species